GAGGGGCAUCUAACCAGGCUGUGUUGGUGUUGCCGUUGGAAGAUCAUGGCGGCUGGUGUCCUCGUCGAGAAGGCUUCUCUCUGGCCUUCUGGCUUGCCCUGCGCUGGAGCUCGGUCCUUGGCCACGAAGGCAGCUCCCGACUGCACCUGGUGUCCCUGGGCUGUGGCCCGUUCCUGUGCGAGCUGUGGGCUGAGGACGUGGAGAAGGGCACGGUGUCCCUGUGGCUGACGCAGGAUGGCGCCAGCGUAGCAGAGAGUGCCGCCUGCAAUGCUGCCUCCCAAUGCAGCUUCGAGAGGGUGCUGGCGGGCCAUGGUUGGCACCACUUCGCCCUCGCCUACCACGAACAUGUGCCGCGAAGCACUCAUGAGACGGGCUGUUAUGCUUCGGUGACAUUAACAGUCGACGGUCGUCACAGUCGUUCCUGGCACCUGCCCCUGGAAGGACAGGGUGGUGACAGUUGCUUGCAUCAGCCGG
rnacentral:lncRNA from 1 species